rnacentral:rRNA from 1 species
CCUACGGGGGGCAGCAGUGAGGAAUAUUGGUCAAUGGACGAGAGUCUGAACCAGCCAAGUAGCGUGAAGGAUGACUGCCCUAUGGGUUGUAAACUUCUUUUAUAUGGGAAUAAAAUGUUCCACGUGUGGGAUUUUGUAUGUACCAUAUGAAUAAGGAUCGGCUAACUCCGUGCCAGCAGCCGCGGUAAUACGGAGGAGCCGAGCGUUAUCCGGAUUUAUUGGGUUUAAAGGGAGCGUAGGUGGAGUGUUAAGUCAGUUGUGAAAGUUUGCGGCUCAACCGUAAAAUUGCAGUUGAAACUGGCAGUCUUGAGUACAGUAGAGGUGGGCGGAAUGCGUGGUGUAGCGGUGAAAUGCUUAGAUAUCACGAAGAACUCCGAGUGCGAAGGCAGUUCACUGGACUGCAACUGACACUGAGGCUCGAAAGUGUGGGUAUCAAACAGGAUUAGAUACCCUGGUAGUC